rnacentral:sRNA from 1 species
AUUUGGCUUUGGUUUGGGAGGACUGAAAUUGAACAGCAAAAUGCCAAAAACAAGAUUCACCUUCAAAACCCUUUCAUCAUCAUCAACAAUUGAAGUUCCUUCUUCAGACCCAAACCCAGGUUUUAAAGCAACCGACAACGCUUCUGUGCCAGCAGUUCGAGUUUUUAAAAGGAAAAAGAGGGUUAAAAAGACGGUGGAUGUUGUACAAGAGAUUCCCAAAGCAGAAAAUAAGGGCCUUAAGCCGUGUGGCCUACCUGACUGAGGAAUUUGCAUACAAGAAGGUGGAUGGUCCUCUGUCUGGGAAGUCAAAGUCCACAUCUGAUGAGAUUAAUGUGGGAACUGGUAUUGCUUCCCCAGUUGGGAUAGGAGGUAAAUGAUGAAAAAUUGUGCAUGAGUAAUGCUAAUUGAAAUUGCAAGAGAAGAAGAGAGUUGGCCAAAGGAGUUUAUUGACUUUAAAGAGAACUCAUAAGUACAUGCCAAUUUGCUCCACCUUGUAAACCUUUUCCUUCUAUAUGUCAAUUGAAUAGUCUGUUUAAGUUACCAAAGUUUGCAGUUGGUCUUUGCAUCCUAUCAUCAUGAUUUAAAUGUAGCAUAUCUAUAGAUUUCUGCCUCUAGGAUGUGUUUGGAUUGUUAAGUAGAUUGUCUCUUAUUAAUGUACAUGUCCAUAUAGAUUAUAGAAUGAUUAAUAAUUUUGAUGAACAAGACUUUCUCCUAGUGCAUUUCUUUUGAGAGUAUAAACUUCUGAAUUACAGAUGCAUUUGCUGUUGAUGUGUUUGAUGUGAUACAGGGAAUGCACCUGCUAACUGGGAAAGUGCUUGAAGGAAUCCGUAAAAUAAGGUCUGCAGAAGAUGCACCUGUAGACACUAUGGGAUGUGAGAAAGCUGGCAGUGUUCUUCCUCCUAAGG